rnacentral:misc_RNA from 1 species
CCUAAGAGAUACGUGUUAUGUGCAGUGCUCACACAGAUUGUCUGAUGAAGAACGAGCAAAAGCGCGUCUGCGAAGCUGACAAAAGUCCCCUUCGUCUAGAGGCCUAGGACACCGCCCUUUCACGGCGGUAACAGGGGUUCGAAUCCCCUAGGGGACGCCAAUGCGCGGUAUGAGUGAAAGGCGUACCACUUAUCUGACGAGAGUCAGAGAAUAACUAAGCUAAUUCAAAUGAGUUAUCUUACUUAUUAUGCUCUUUAACAAUCUGGAACAAGCUGAAAAAUUGAAAACAAAUCAAUAUAUCACCGAGGUAUAUUGAUGAGUCUCUCAAAAUCUCAAACCUUAAAGUUUGUCACGCAAAGUUUAUCUUUGAAAAAGACACUUUCGGGUUGUGA